rnacentral:rRNA from 1 species
GAUUUAUCGGUAUUGGAUGGGGGAUGCGUCUGAUUAGCUUGUUUGCGGGGUAAAGGCCCACCCAAGGCAACGAUCAGUAGGGGUUCUGAGAGGAAGGUCCCCCACAUUGGAACUGAGACACGGUCCAAACUCCUACGGGAGGCAGCAGUGAGGAAUAUUGGUCAAUGGGCGAGAGCCUGAACCAGCCAAGUAGCGUGCAGGAUGACGGCCCUAUGGGUUGUAAACUGCUUUUAUAUGGGAAUAAAGUGAGGGGACGUGUCCCUUAUUGCAUGUACCAUACGAAUAAGGACCGGCUAAUUCCGUGCCAGCAGCCGCGGUAAU